UGUUUAUAAUCACAAUUUGAAUAUUAUCAUAUUUUUCUUUGGGGUCUUUUUAAUGGUGGAAUGUUAUGGGGAUAAGGGUGUGUAUGAAUAGUGGGUCGAGAUGGGGUGGUCGGAGGUGGUUCUCCUAAUUUCCACUUUGUAGGUGGUAGGGGAGGUGGCGAUCAAGGGUUGGAGAGGGGUAGAAACUGGUUGAGGUUUAGAGAUGGGGUGGCCGAAGUUAUCUAUUGUUGGGUUUUAUUAUUUUUCUUUUUAGGGGUAGAAAGAGACUGUUGGGAUACAUUUGAAAUUUCAAGAUAAAAUAUGAUAAGUUAGGUGCAGAAAGAGAAUAAACGGUUAUAAAUAAAAUUGUUCUUAAACUAAUCUUAGCAGUCAUAAAAAAAAUAAAAAAACCCUCCAUGCAGCUAAAAAAAUAAGAGAAAAAAUCAUAGUCUUUAACCCCUGCCUUUGGUGUUGGGGUCGAAGGCAAUCUUGCUUAAUCUCUUCUUUUUUUUCCCUCUUUGUUUGUAGUUGUAGUCAGUAGAGUAGCGGUUUUGUGGUUGUGAUCAUGGUCAUGAUUUGUUCAAUCUCACAUUCUAGAGCUAUGAUUGUUGUUCAGAUUGAGGCGGCGGUGUGCGCUCGGCAAAGGAAGGAAACUUGACGUUUGUUGGAGAGGACUCAUAGCAGGGCGUCUUUGCUAGGAAUUGAAAAAUCAUCAUAAAUUGGUGCGGUUUUUUUCCUUGUGGAGCCUCUGCCUUAUUUCUCAGGAGUGCAAUAUUUUAGUCCUCGUGACUAGGAUUUAGGGUUUAAGACUUAUAGUUCUCCAUGAUUCAAGAAUCGUAUUGUUUGUUUGAUGUGAUUGUAAUUGUAGGGUUGUGAUUAGACCUGUCAUUCGUGUGUGUGUUUUCCGUGUUCAUGUCGUUUUCGUGACAUACCCAAUAUCUUAAUAGGUUGUGUCGUGUAACAAUAGUUAAAGUAAACGGGUAAUAUGACCGACCCAAAAUUGAUCCGUUAAUAUUAUCAAGUAAUAUGACCUGACCCGUUACCCAUUAAAUAAAAUAUAUUUUAAAUCAAUAAAUAAUGAAAAUGAAAAACAUAAUUUGACAAAAAAAAGGAAAAUAUAAUACUAAAUUAGUACAUGCAUAUCACAUUGUCACAUAAAUACUACUUUCAAAACAUAAAACUGUCCGUAGAAAAUAAAAAAGACAUUUGUUUUUCAAGUAUUACAUACCCCAAAAUAAGGGUCUAAUGAAAAAACAUUAGUACAUUACUACAAAAUACCAAAUGUUCAAGGAUAGGCAAAAUGAAAGGAGUUGCGUUUCAAGGUUGAGGGUGCAAUCACGAGCUUUUAUACAUGUUUUCACAUUUUUCAGACUUGUACAUUAAUGAUUAUGAAUUUUAUUUAUUUUGAACUCCCUUAAAAAUACUAUUCAUGAGGGUUUGUAUUACCCAUCCUCAAAGCGUUCAAGAUGCGAACACGAGCAUUUGCCUAUUUUUUCACAUUU
rnacentral:lncRNA from 1 species